rnacentral:lncRNA from 1 species
CCCGAUCAAAAAACACACAAACAGACGUCUCUCUCAUCAUCCUCCACCUGGGUUGAGGGUUUCAAUUAGAGUACUUCGAUCGAUCUGAAACCCUAAUUCACCAUCCAAAAUGUCUCAAACUGGAAAAUUAAUGCACAAUCUAGACCAAAAAGCACGAAGAUCCUCAAUCUCAUUGUCCUCGAGAGGAUGGAUCCGUACAUCAAGGAGAUCUUAAUCACCGCUGCUCAUGUCACCUUCUACGAGUUCAACAUCGACCUCAAUCAAUAGGUCACUAGCUGCAAGCAUGGCUAUCCAUGAGGUUCUUGUUUGCAAAUAGACGAUGAACUUUGCAUUCUUCAAGAUGGGUUUCCUCUUUUCUCCUAUUAGGUUAUGAGCUUAUUAUAACUUUACUCCAUGUAAGACAUUUUUUUAUGUUGGUUUAUUUUUCCUUCAAGCCAUGAGUGUUAAACAAUGAUUUAAGUUUCUUUUAACAAUGUAGAAGAGGAACUGGGGGGUUAACCUAUAUAAGCUCUUUUCAACAAAAUUUUAUUAGACUAUAGUAGCUGUUAGUU